rnacentral:rRNA from 1 species
UUUGACCUGGCUCAGAACGAACGCUGGCGGCAGGCUUAACACAUGCAAGUCGAACGCCCCGCAAGGGGAGUGGCAGACGGGUGAGUAACGCGUGGGAAUCUACCGUGCCCUGCGGAAUAGCUCCGGGAAACUGGAAUUAAUACCGCAUACGCCCUACGGGGGAAAGAUUUAUCGGGGUAUGAUGAGCCCGCGUUGGAUUAGCUAGUUGGUGGGGUAAAGGCCUACCAAGGCGACGAUCCAUAGCUGGUCUGAGAGGAUGAUCAGCCACAUUGGGACUGAGACACGGCCCAAACUCCUACGGGAGGCAGCAGUGGGGAAUAUUGGACAAUGGGCGCAAGCCUGAUCCAGCCAUGCCGCGUGAGUGAUGAAGGCCUUAGGGUUGUAAAGCUCUUUCACCGGAGAAGAUAAUGAC